rnacentral:rRNA from 1 species
UUCCGCUUGAUCCUGCCGGACCCGACUGCUAUCAGAGUGGGACUAAGCCAUGCGAGUUAACGUAGCAAUACGUGGCAUACGGCUCAGUAACACGUAGUCAACAUGCCCAGGGGACGUGGAUAACCUCGGGAAACUGAGGAUAAACCGCGAUAGGUCAUGAUUUCUGGAAUGAUUCAUGGCCGAAAUCUACAUGGCCCCUGGAUUGGACUGCGGUCGAUCAGGCUGUUGGUGAGGUAAUGGCCCACCAAACCUGUUACCGGUACGGGCUCUGAGAGGAGGAGCCCGGAGAUGGGCACUGAGACAAGGGCCCAGGCCCUAUGGGGCGCAGCAGGCGCGAAACCUCUGCAAUAGGCGAAAGCCUGACAGGGUUACUCUGAGUGGUUUCCGCUAAGGGAACCUUUUGGCACCUCUACAAAUGGUGCAGAAUAAGGGGUGGGCAAGUCUGGUGUCAGCCGCCGCGGUAAUACCAGCACCCCGAGUGGUCGGGACGAUUAUUGGGCCUAAAGCAUCCGUAGCCGGUCCUGCAAGUCUUCCGUUAAAUCCACCUGCUUAACAGAUGGGCUGCGGGGGAUACUACAGGGCUAGGAGGCGGGAGAGGCAAGCGGUACUUUAUGGGUAGGGGUAAAAUCCG